rnacentral:rRNA from 1 species
GACGAACGCUGGCGGCGUGCUUAACACAUGCAAGUCGAACGGAAAGGCCCUGCUUUUGUGGGGUGCUCGAGUGGCGAACGGGUGAGUAACACGUGAGUAACCUGCCCUUGACUUUGGGAUAACUUCAGGAAACUGGGGCUAAUACCGGAUAGGAGCUCCUGCUGCAUGGUGGGGGUUGGAAAGUUUCGGCGGUUGAUGGACUCGCGGCUUAUCAGCUUGUUGGUGGGGUAGUGGCUUACCAAGGCUUUGACGGGUAGCCGGCCUGAGAGGGUGACCGGCCACAUUGGGACUGAGAUACGGCCCAGACUCCUACGGGAGGCAGCAGUGGGGAAUAUUGCACAAUGGGCAGAAGCCUGAUGCAGCAACGCCGCGUGCGGGAUGACGGCCUUCGGGUUGUAAACCGCUUUCGCCUGUGACGAAGCGUGAGUGACGGUAAUGGGUAAAGAAGCACCGGCUAACUACGUG